ACCUAUAUUGCAGUUUUGCAUGUUUCUAUAUUGCAUGAGAUUCUUAAUCUCAGGGUUGUGGGUUCAAGUCCCAUGUUGGGCA